GACGAACGCUGGCGGCGUGCUUAACACAUGCAAGUCGAGCGGAAAGGCCCUUUCGGGGGUACUCGAGCGGCGAACGGGUGAGUAACACGUGAGUAAUCUGCCCUUGGCUUUGGGAUAACCACCGGAAACGGUGGCUAAUACCGGAUAUGACGGGCUCCGGCAUCGGGGUUCGUGGAAAGUUUUUCGGCCAGGGAUGUGCUCGCGGCCUAUCAGCUUGUUGGUGGGGUAAUGGCCUACCAAGGCUUCGACGGGUAGCCGGCCUGAGAGGGUGACCGGCCACACUGGGACUGAGACACGGCCCAGACUCCUACGGGAGGCAGCAGUGGGGAAUAUUGGACAAUGGGCGGAAGCCUGAUCCAGCAACGCCGCGUGAGGGAUGACGGCCUUCGGGUUGUAACCGU
rnacentral:rRNA from 1 species